UACGUAGGGGGCAAGCGUUGUCCGGAUUUAUUGGGCGUAAAGAGCGUGUAGGCGGCCUGGAAGGUCAGCUGUGAAAACUCGAGGCUCAACCUCGAGACGUCGGUUGAAACCACCUGGCUAGAGUCCGGAAGAGGAGAGUGGAAUUCCCGGUGUAGCGGUGAAAUGCGCAGAUAUCGGGAGGAACACCAGUGGCGAAGGCGGCUUUCUGGCCUGCUCUUGACGCUGAGGCGCGAAAGCUAGGGUAGCAAACGGG
rnacentral:rRNA from 1 species